GGAACUUCUGGCCACUCUGUCAAGGAAACGGCAAGCACCUCCAGUUCUCAACAAAGCCUUACUGUUUCCCACAAGAACAAUGCUGAUAAAGAAUUGUCUAUCUUGAGUGUAAUCAUACAGUCAUUGUGCAAUCUGAGGCAUUUCAGAGAUAAACUUCUGAUGGGGCCACUUGUAUGGAUCCCGUCAGUUGAUAAUCCCUGCAUUGCACAGCAAUUUUAUGAAAUCUUCUCUUCUUGGGAGAAAAACGACCACCACUUAACCGAUGUUGUACUGACUUACAUGAAGACUCUUCUCUGCAGAGUUGUAGAUUGCAGCACUUUUUAUGAAAAGGUUGGGAAAACUUUUGCUUCUGAGAUUGUGGCCACAAUUCUCAUUGAAUUGCAUAUGUCAGAAACUUGUUCGCGUUUUAGAGAAAACAAGGAGACUGAGAGACAUGUAGUGAACCGAAUCACGUGCGGAGAUUGCAUAUGCCCAACACAUUAUAUUUUUGGGAUCAAAUUCGAUGCUCAAAUCAGCUGUAGCUGUGGGAAGUCUUCCGGUGGAUACCUGUAUACCACACUUUUCCAUAAACUUGAUGCCGGUUCACCUCAAACAGCAAAGAUCAAGUCCUUUGCAGAGCUUCCGGUUCUAUUGGAUGAACAGUUCCGCGAGGACAACAAAUGCGACCAUUGUGGAAGUCUGCAGAAUAUUGAUCUUUUUCUUGCAAACACACCACACUUCUUUACAAUAGUUUUGAACUGGCUGGGUGGCAGUGAAAGCCAGGACACACUAUCUGAAGUUCUGGCUGGCAUCACGUCUCCCCUUGACACUGAGUUCUUUUGCAGAAGUGCUCAUUCUGCAGCUAUGUAUGCUGUCACAUCCAUGAUCUGCUAUGCUGAUGACCGCUACCUCUGCUUUGCUCGCGACGAGGACAAGUGGGUCAUAUAUGGCUUCGAGACUGUUAAGAUGCAGAGAGAAGAUAGUUGGGAGCAUUUGCUAGAACGUUUCAAGGACUGCAAGCUCCAGCCUGAAUUUCUAUUUUUCGAGGUCAUCAAGUAG
rnacentral:rRNA from 1 species